rnacentral:rRNA from 1 species
UGGGGAAUAUUGCACAAUGGGGGAAACCCUGAUGCAGCGACGCCGCGUGAACGAAGAAGGUAUUCGUAUCGUAAAGUUCUGUCCUAUGGGAAGAUAAUGACAGUACCAUAGGAAUAAGGACCGGCUAAUUACGUGCCAGCAGCCGCGGUAAUACGUAAGGUCCGAGCGUUGUCCGGAAUCAUUGGGCGUAAAGGGUACGUAGGCGGGUAAGCAAGUUAGAAGUGAAAUCCUGUAGCUCAACUACAGUAAGCUUUUAAAACUGCUCAUCUUGAGAUAUGGAAGGGAAAGUGGAAUUCCUAGUGUAGCGGUGAAAUGCGCAGAUAUUAGGAGGAAUACCGGUGGCGAAGGCGACUUUCUGGCCAUAAUCUGACGCUGAGGUACGAAAGCGUGGGUAGCAAACAGG